ACUUCCGAAGGUGGUAUUGCGACAAGCUUAACAGCUUAUCGAAAGACGCUUAGGUGGUGAUGUUGUGUUUGCAUUUGACUUGGAAGGUUCGAGUCCACUAUUUCCUGUGAUAUACACCCUGUCUGUCCAUAGUAUAUUGUUUAUAACACCGCUUAGGCGGUGUUUUUUUUU
rfam:Triticum urartu cultivar G1812 contig1170609, whole genome shotgun sequence.